rnacentral:rRNA from 1 species
UACGAGGGGGGCUAGCGUUGUUCGGAAGCACUGGGCGUAAAGCGUGCGCAGGCGGACUUUCAAGUCAGGGGUGAAAUCCCGAGGCUCAACCCGGGAACUGCCUUUGAGACUGAAAGUCUAGAGAUUGGGAGAGGCGAGUGGAAUUCCGAGUGUAGAGGUGAAAUUCGUAGAUAUUAGGAGGAACACCAGUGGCGAAGGCGACUCGCUGGACUAAUACUGACGCUCUGGUACGAAAGCGUGGGGAGCAAGCACG